UUUACAUGAUACCUUACAGUAGAAAAAAAUAGAAACGAAGAUAGUAUAGUGUGCACAUAAAAUGCAUUUGUUGGUGUUUUACAGUUGCUUGUGUGAAGAAAAGAAAAAAAAAUCCAUAUAACACGAUUGCGUGCAUAUUUAAAUAUUCCAUGCAUGUAGAAUACAGCUGGUGACACUGUUUUUAUGUUAACUUUAUACAGUCAAUGAACGCGAAGAGCCUCCAGAGAGUUUAAAUGGUAGAUGUCCCGCUCUGGGGUGCAGUUUGUCUUAAGAUGAUUCCCCGCGGCUUUGUUUCUAGCAUGCCAUGUGCCCUGCAGUAAUGAGCAACCUGUUGGGUAAUGCAAUUCUCCAGCAAGCAAGGCUGCAGUGCAAGAGUUUCCAGAACAAUCCCAGACGUGCGAUGAAGGUUUUGAAUGUGGGUCACAACUGCCAGAGUUCUUUUUACGGAAGUGGGCCAAAUCAAAGCAGUGGCUUCUCUCCAUCAUCAGAAACAUGGUUCUCAAAGCUAAGAGAAACACGUCUCCUGGUACGAACUCCAAGGAACGCUGGAAGAAGGCUGAUUUAGAAAAUAAUGUUUUCUUGGAAGGCUUUGUGGCCUUCGGAGGAGGUCGAUACCAGUGCCCAGGAAAACCAGCUGUGCUCACUUUUAUUCAUCAACUAAAAUAACUCAUCACUAGCAUACUCCACAAACAUUGCUAUGGCUAUACUGUAGCAGUCUAGUUCAGCAGGAAUAUUUAAAAAGGUCAUGGUCAGAAAUGGGUUAAUUCUCCAGCCCAGCAUGAGUUCAUGCUAGACUUAUCUAGAUAAUCCCAUUAUCUAAUGCAAGAUUAUAUAGUGUAAUGUAAUAUAGUGUAGUGUAGUUUCUGUAAGUCGCCUUGGAUAAAGGCAUCUGCUAAAUAAACAAAUAAUAAUAAUAAUAAUUAAACAAUUUUUAAAUGUAAAAAUUCUACGUUUGAUAAAAAGACAUUGUCCCCACUUUGAUAAAGCGCCUGACUCACAAUAUUCGUUCAGUAAGAAAAAAAAAACUUUUAAACAGCACACUUCAAAACUCCAAGGCUGCCUUGUUUGAGUGUGGGUAUCAAUAGCAGUAAGUCCCUUCAGAUAUGUAUUACUAUUAGUUCCAAUCAGAGCUUGGUUUGGAAUACAUUUAUGAGUGGUUGGUUGUGCAGCUAUUCUGAGCUAUUUUUCAAACUCAGUAGGGUGUGCUAUCCUCUGUAUUAAUCUAGAAUUUCAAAGGUUGAAACUCUCACUUGGCAAUGUGGUCAGUUUCCUCCCUGCUAUCCUUCCGUACCAUACAGUACAUCUGAUUUUCCAACAUACAUCACCAAUAUAGAGCUUCACAAUAUAUUAUUUUUUACCCCUGUCAUCUGGGUAUUUAUCAAUUUGUUAAGUCAGAUUUCAAUUUAGCAUUUGGUCCUAAAGACCUAAAGGGCAUGAAGGUGGGCAGAUUGCCCGCAUAAUACAUUUACUAUGAAGUGGAUCAUUUAUCUGCCCACAGUAUAAAAUAUAGAUAACAUAUCUAAAUAACUUUGGCUGCCUUAUAAAGUCAGCACUUAUGAAACUCAGUAGCAAUACAAUCCCCUCCCUUUUAUUUCCUUUAAAUAAUGCAUGUCAUGUUCAUUGUACCACCUCCCGACCUUGGAAUAUACACACGAUCGCCAUUAGAGGUCACUUCGUUUCCUGAACCCAGUCGUUCAGCAGCGCAGCCGGACCGAUGCCUCGGCAGCAGCAGCGCUCUCACCCCAAUGGCUUUACAGCAGCCUUGAUCUGUGUAAUCGCCCACAUCCACCUACUGAUUAGGUGCUCGCAGCUGGUAAAACCCACACGCUGCUCGAUCCUGCAACUAAACACACCAGGCAGGCUGCUACACACUGUGUCAGGUUCCCCAUUAAAACUAAUCCCAUUCUUAUUUAUACAAUCACAACACUCAUAUUUACAAUAAACAAUCACAGAAGCCCCCUCCUUAUGUGCAGGGCUGGGUGUCAAAUUCUUUUUAAACAAUACACACACCUUACGUAAACAGUUGUAGCAACACAUGGGAACAUGUAACACAGUAAAAUAAAAAGGUCCUUAUGUACCCUUUAAGGUAAUAUACUGUAUUAUAUAGAAACUGUUCAUUAAUGUUGGAAACGGUUUGUGUUAAACUGAGGGUAGGUAAAAUGAAUUAGUUCAUUUCUGAUCUAAACUAUUUAAAUAACAAACUCAUUGUGGAGUGAUGUGCGUCGCACUUGCACAAUUAUUUGGAAUUUACAACUGACAUCACUGCAUGUGUGAAUAUUUGAUGGUUAUUUAAAUAAGCUUCUUGCUGUUUUCUAUGGUAGGACGUGAGGUGUUGGUGUGUCAUGUGAUUACAUUGAUUUAUUUUAGUCUUCUGUGAGAGAUGUAAAAUCAGUGCUUUCAAUAAAACUGAGAAAAUGUAACUGCAGGAAUGGUAAAAAGGUGCAUCAAACCUAAUCAUCGCUGUGCUGUUUUUAAACCCUGUUAAGAGAAAUUAGACUCACCUAAUAUAUAGUUACAUUGACUCUUGUUACAGUUCACAGCUUCUGCUUAUUAAACUGUCACGGCUGACCUUCACUGAUAACCUGAGUUUCCGGUGGGAUAGUGCUGAUGACAUCAUUCCAAACCCCUGGGACUGUCCAAUCACGUCACGGGUAGUAUGACGUUCAAGGCAGGAGCUCAAAACCAAGAGAAAGCUCAUCUGAAAAUUCCCAGCAAGAGAUGUUAUUAGCAUUUUAAAUGACUGGCAUCUUUUCCAAACUGCAUUUUAAUCCGAACAGGAGGCAUAUACCUCCCGACAUGUUCCACAAGCAUAACCAUUGUAAAGAACAGCAUCAGUAUGUUCAAAGCUCCUUGGAAAUACUGCUCUUAAACUAAAACCAGAGCUCAAAUUAUUACACUAGUGAACUACUCUAAUUAUUUCACCAGUGAAUAAUACACAUUGCUCAUCUGCCUUGGGUGACAUGUACCAAGCAGAAAUUACCUUGCUAUCUGGAAACGUGUAUAGUCCAGACAGAGGGUGUAGAAGUCCUCGUGGACAGCCCUGAGAGCUCUGGGGAGAAGAAGAGGAAACCCUGUGUUUAUGUUCCCAGUUAACAAUUAAACAAAUACAGACACAAAUACCUUUUACAUUGGAUGUGCUUGUCUAUAAGUCUGAAGUUUUCAGAGCUUUCCUAUGGAAAACACAGGCCUUUUGUUUUCAGUCACACUGAGAUCAUAUCAAGCUGAGGCAGUAUCACACUGAUACGGUGGCGCCCCCCCCCUGUUGAGAACCACUGGGUAAAUGUAAUAGACUAGCCACCACAACACCUCACACUAGCUCCCCAUGCACAGAUCACCCUGAGUUGCUGUGAUCACAAGUUCUUGAAGACCCUGAUCAACGCGAACCAAAGACCGCUAAACGACAAGCCUGGCCUCCCCCCACCCAAACCAAGCUGCAUCAACAACAGUCAAAGACC